AUUACAAAUCAGCUAGUUUGGGGCUCUAUAAAUUAUACCUUUCCUUACUGUUUCCCUCUCAUUAUUUUAUAAUAGUUUACUCACAUCCAGAUCGUUCAUAUGACAUGAUGCUCCUUUUGGCUUUGUUUGUAAAUCCAUAUUUAGGCCUUGUUUCUUUUACUCUAAUAUAAUCUCCAGUCCACUUUACCAAAAAAAAAAAACACACCUAACAAGACAAAAAAAAAACUUUUGUUCUUAUUCCAGACCAAGUAAAUCACCUCAACUUUAUAUAUAAUUAUCCUCUCUCCACUGGAAGAUGAAAACUAUUCCACUCAAUUUUUAUUCUAUUGAACCUAGGACUUAAUAUAACUAACAUAGAUGGACAUCAUAUUUAGUUAAGAAAGAAAUCAUAUUUAGUUAAGAAAGAAAAGUAAUCCAUACCUGAAUAUUCACAAUGACUCCAAUAUACAAAAUUACUUGUAUCUUAGGCCAUAAUCUAUUAGGUGAUAUAGCAUUGCUAUUGAUUACCAAUUGUAUUAUUAUCCUAAGUUGAUUUUAAUUUUGAGUAAACAAAAUGUUUAUCAUGUCUUAGGCUUGCAGAACCCUUGAUGUUAACAUAAAUAAGAAAACUAGUUUAUAGUUAGGUAAUGGGUAAAAUCUACUACAAUUGUAACAAUAUUUUACAGCGAUGUUGGGGUGCCUUAUGUAUUGCAUCAAUUUCUUAAAUGACGCUCGGGAAGAGAUGAAAUUCAUAUGCUUGUGAGAUCUUGUUCACUCUCUCUAGCCUGUCAUUGAGAUAGAUAUUAUGACUAACUCUAAAUUAUUUAUUGAGACAAAAAGAAAAUAGCGAAGGGUACAAGCAACUCUAAAUUGGAUUAGGAAUUGCAUCUCAAAUGUAAUCUAUAUUUGAACCAAAUCAAAAAAUAGAAGGUUAAUUAAUUCCAACUUCACUUAAUUGUCUUUUUUAAAAUUUUACUAACAAUUUAGCACAUGCAGUUCAUCUCUACAAAAAAAAUAAAAAUAAAAUAGGAACCCAAUCAUGAGCCAAUGAAUUGAUAAAUUUCAUGCAAUAUAGAUAAAUAAUAAUUUGUGAUAAAGUAGAAAAUAAAAAUAGAAAAAAAUUGUAAAACAAAACUACGGUUAAUGGAUCAAAUAGGUGGCAUAAACAAGCAUCAUUUGAAAAUGGGUAAUUAGAAAAUAAGAGUACAAUUUUUUAUGAAAUCCCUGAAAAAAUAGAAAAAAGAGAAACAAUAUAGUAAAUUAGAUAUUAAAAUAUAAAAAAGUAAAUACAAUAGUUGGGCCUAGUAAUGCAUGAUCAAAGAAGAAUUAGUAAACAAAAUAAAAAUAUUAUAAAUAAUUGAAAUAUAUCAAAUAAAAAUAAAAGAAUGAGGAAUAAAAUAAAUUGAAUAUAUAAAGUAAAUUUAAAAGUAAAUUAGCUACAAAAAAAUAGAUAGCAUAAUUUCUUGAAAAAUUAAAUAAGAAAUUGAAUUAAAGAACAAAAGCAACUCAGAUUAAAAUAAUGAAAAUAGAGAAAAUGAAUUAAAAAAUAUAAGAUUAUAAGACAUGCACGUGUAAUGCAUGCACAAGAAUGAGCUAAUAAGAAACAAGAACAUAAAAUUAUUAGUCAUUGUGGUAAAUUAAAUACCAAAAGUUGAAGGGAAUGCAAAAAAUAAAAACAUAAUAAUUGAAAGUAUGGGAGAAAUUUUUAAGUCAAGCUCCUCGGGCAAAGACUUACUGGAGUGUUGGAUGAUGCUCAUCAUUUCUUCAUUGCCUACCCCCAUUCCAAAUAAGUAUGAGGUCUUGUAAAUGAACUUUUGUCUACCUCUUAUAACCAAGAGUCUUUAGAGAUUUUCUUGAUUGAUGUUAAUUUUAAUGGGGAUGUCUGAUCAGGAUAUUAUCUUCACAGGACCUUUUCAAUACCACGCGUCGUAACAGGAAGAAAGAAGAAAUAAAACAGAAACAAUCAAAUACAUGGAUCAGCCAAAAGGUUCGCCUCCAUGGGACAUACAAGCUUCACUAUGAAAAAGAAAAAAUUAUAAGAGGAGAUCACACUCUCAAUCCUUGUACACCCAAUCUCUCCCUCACAAGAAGUUUUCUCUCACAAAAACUCUCUCUCUAGAAAGAUCUUCUGGAACUCCUAAAGCGACCGCUGUUCGCUGCUUGAUAGUCUACCUGAAGCAUCCUGCUCCUGCUCUCUGUUGGCGCCUCUCAGUCUACUGCUGCGGUCCUCUAUCGAAGAACCAAAGCCACUAGUUUCUAUUGCCACAGGGUGAGUUUAUAGGCCUCAGAACCCAAAUCAGAUCGGAAACCGACUUUUGUUUGCAUCAAAUUGCCUCUCCAGCCGCCAGAUCAAGACCGGCUCCCGUCUUAACCAUCUGAUCGCUCAACAUGAGUUCGCGGUCCAUGAAAAUCUCUAUAGACCAUGAGAAAUCAGCUCGAAAUGCCCCUCGGUCCAUGGUGGACCGCAUGAAACCAAGGGAAAAUGCCUGCCUAAUCCACAUGGGUCCCCAUAGACCUUCGAUCCAUGCACUGUGCGUGGACUGCAUGGGAAAAUCGUGCGGGCCGCGCCUGCGCACGGGCUCGCCUGUGCCUGGGCUGCGCCCGCAUGCGCACCUGCCUGGGCUUGGGCCAUGCACCGCACACACCCGCACGUCUGUGCGCUGGGCUAUGUGCCACCGUGUGUGCCUGCUCCGUUGGCCUAUCAUCGGUCACCGCUAGCCUCCAUCACUCUGUAAGUCGUGCCAUCUUCUAUCGAGCAUGUCUCUUUUAUUCAAUCUCUAUUUGGACUGAUUUUAGACUUGUUGGACUCCGUUCGUCAUCGUGGAUCUCACUGUGGGUUCAGUAUGGAUCGAAUCUCGAGACAUCAAAUCUUAACAAUCUUCAUUUUAACUCGAUAUUUGACCUCAUCCUAACUCUGAGAGCUUCUGAAUCUCCUUGUCCCCAUGUCUUGGGGCCAUCACCUGCUGAUCAUGGAUGGACAGACAUGGGAGUCGAGCCAGAUCGCUCGAUCCCAUCUCCAUCGUAUGCUGUGCUCCUCCUGACCUGAGACCUACUCGGGGUAUUAUCCUGCGGCAAUAGAAAUUUCACCUUGCGAUGUCGCCUCUUAUCCUCUCGAGUCUCGCAUCUCGUAUUCGAUCCACCUUCACUUGGAGCUCCACCUCGCACUGGGCUCUCCAGCAGAUAGUAAUAUCCUUUCGUCCUCUUCUUUCUCUCCAGAAUAAUCCUAUCACCACGCAAUACUUUCAGGAUUUCUCCACCAGCUACCAUCCCGUAGCCUCUUGAAUUCAGUCUGCUCAGUGAGAUUGGAUUCUGUCUGAAAUCGGAUAUGUAUCGGACCUCCCUUAAUUUUCUCACUGCACCAUCAUGUAUCCUCCAGCUGACCGUCUCGAUGCCUCUGAUCGCACAGUUCGAUCCAUCCGACAGACAAACAAUACUCUCACUGCUCUCCAGAGAGUCGAACUGCUCUCUACAACAUACAUGAUAGAUGCAUGCAGAAUCUAAAAUCCACUGUUGAAAAAAAAUAGAUACCUCAUCAGAUAUCUUCAAGACAUUACCCUCUAACUUGCUACUGGUCGUUGCUGUAGUAGCCCUCAUCUGAUCUCUGAGUUGAGAGCAAUCUUUGGCUAGAUGCCCCAACUCAUCACACCGAUAACAUCUGAUCUUACUCAAGUCCCUCAUUCUGAACUUGGACCGCCCUCGUCGCAAUCUCCUAUCGCUCCGUCUAUCACCUCCUACUCCUUUCAAAAUCACUAAAACUGAGCUGCUAUCUGAGCUCGAAGCUGGGUUCUCCCACCUGAGAAUCUUGUUCUGAAGAAUCACCACAAUGACCUUGUCUAUCUUGAUGGUGCUCUUUUUCACUAGAAGAGCAGUCACCAAAGACUCAUACGAAGGAGAAAGCGAUGCUAGCAAGACCAGCACUCUGGUCUUCUCCUCAAUUUUCUCGUCAAUGCUGAGGAGGUCGAUGAUGAUCUUCUGAAAGUGAUUGAGAUGCUCCUGCAUGCUGUCCCUCAGUCAUCCGCAGCUGGUAGAACUGCCUCCAGAGAAAGAGGGUAUUGGUGAGAGACUUCACCAUAUACAACUCCUCGAGCUUCGAUCACAGCACCGUUGGAGAAAUCUUGCUAAGUACGUGGUUCACCACUUCAUCCGUUAGGUACAAACAGAUUGUACUUACUGUCUGCAUCUGGAAUCGCCUCUAAUCUUGCACCUUCAUGAUAGUCAGCUUCUCCUUGCACAAGAGAGUAUCGAUCAAUCCUUGCUGGAUGAGCACAUCCUUUAGCCUUGCUCGCCACAAGGAGAAAUUGCUCUCUCCAUCAACUCUGUUGAUUUUCAUCUUGAUUUAGCUUGUUUUCUCUAUUUUCAAUCUUGCUCACCGCCGCCGCAAUCUGCGUCCUGGUAUCACCUUGCUCUGAUACCACUUAUUGGAGAUAUCUGGCCAGAACACCAUCUCUACAGAAAGAAAAAAAAAUAGAAACAAUCAAAUACGUGGAUCAGCCAAAAAAUUCAUCUCCACGGGACAUGCAAGUUUCACUAUGAAAAAAAAAAUUAUAAGAGAAGAUCACAUCCUCAACUGUUGUACACCCAAUCUCUCCCUCACAAGAAACUCUCACACACAAAAACUCUCUUUAGAAAGACCCUCUUGAACCUCUGAAGCGACCGCUGUCUGAUAGUUUGCUUGAAGCACCUUGCUUCUGCUCUUUGUCGGUGCAUCUCGAUCUGCUGCUGCGGUCCUCUAUCGAACAACCAAAGCCACCAGUCUUUGUUGCCACAGAGUGAGUUUAUAGAUCUCGAAACCCAAAUCGGAUCAGAAACUGACUCCUAUUUACGUCAAACUGCCUCUCUAGCAGUCAAAUCAAGAUCAGUUCCCAUCUUAACUAUCUGAUCAUGCAACAUGAGUCUCUGAUCCACGAAAAUAGCUGUAAACUGUGAGAAACCAGUCCAAAAUACCCUUCGAUCCAUGGUGGACCAUAUGAAACAAAGGAAAAAUGCUCGUUCGGUCUACACAGGUCCCCAUGGAUCGCCAGUCCACGCACCGUGCAUGGACCGCAUGGGAAAAUCACAUGGGCUGCACCUGGGCCUGGUCCGUGCCCACGCGCGCGUGCGCCCAAGCCUGGGCCGAGCACCGCACGUGCCCGUGUGUUUGCGCACUGGGCCGCAUGCUUGCAACUGUCCUGCACGCCGCCGCGCUCGCUCGCUUCACCAGUCUACCACCGGUCUCCAUCGCUCCGUAAGUCGUGUCAUCUUCUAUCAAACGUAUCUCCUUCAUCCAAUCUCCAUUUAGACUGAUCUUGGACUCGUUGGACUCCGUUCGUCGUCGCGGAUCUCAUUGUGGGCUCAGUGUGGAUCGAAUCUUGAGACAUCAAAUCCUAACAAUUUAGGAGAUCUUUUUUUUGUUAUAUGGCUGGGACGAUUCAAAAGGUGAAAAACAUUCAACUUUUUCAGAGCUUCCUUGUUCCCUAUGCCGAGUCAUUCGCUUAGCUAUAGUAAAGAGUAUACUACCAGUAGUGCCCAUUGCAACUCCUUGCCAAACCUGUGGUGUCUCCACGACCACGAGCUCUAAUAUUUAUUCCCUAUUCUUGUUAGAUGAGUGCUCCCCCUCCCCCACUCCAACUUAAGUAUUUAUAUAUGCGUUUUGCUGCUAAUAUUAUUAUUAAUAAUUAUUUUGGUGGAAAUAUUGCUGCUGGAAUUACUCCCCUUCAUAUGCUCUCUCUCUUGUUGCUGAGCUUAGAGGGGUGUGGGAAUGAAGGCAAUGUGUUUCUCCCAAUUACCAAUGCUCAAGAAUCACACUUCACGGGAAUCAACUACUAUUGAUUCUUGGAUUUUUCUCUUCCAUACUAAAUUGCAUCAAAUAGUUAUUAUUUGUUUUUUAUCAAAAAAAUAUUUAUUAUUUGAUAUUUGUAUCUAAAAACCCAGGCAUUUAAAUGAACAGGCUCAAGAGUAUAUAAGAAUCAUAAGAGUCUUUAAAUGAACAGGCUCAACAGAUCUUGUCCUUAUCUGGCAAAUCAUCUCCUACUCGUCCAAAGUCCAAUAAAAAUAUGCAUAUUAGCUAGUAGGAGAGGGUGCAUUGCAAUGACCUAUGUAUACUAGGUAUGUAUAUUUUCCUCCUAUUCUUGUAGAUCUGGCUUCAGUGAAUGCUAUUGGUUGUUCUUAUUCCAAGGGGGUCUUGGGAACCCCUUUGUUCUAUUAAAGAAAUUUUAUGAUAAAAUAUUUAUAGCAAAUGAAGUAAUCAACUAAAAAAAUUAAAUUUCAAUCAAAAUUUAAAUAUAUUUAAAAUAUUAAAAAAUGUAUGGGAAGAUGGAGGAGAGAUGGAUGUUAAGGAUUGAUGGUGAUAGAUUAAGUAGACAGUGGGGAAUUGUGUGUGUGCGUGCCCGCACGUAUGCAUGUGUGUGUGUGUGAGAGAGAGAGAGAGAGAGAGAGAGGUGGGGGAGGCGCCAAGAGGAGGGGCCAUGUUUAGUGGAGAGAUAAAUUGACAUUAGCUAUAUUGAGUAAAUAAUAAUUUGAUUUAAAUUUUAAUAUUUUAGAUUAAAUUUGAUGGUUAAGUUCUGCCUAUAUAUUUCAUUUUACAAAAUAUGUUUAUUCAUGAAUGUAGCAAUUAGUACCAUCCUAUAUAUUGUUCGAUCAAGGACUUAUGGCUCUGUAUAUGAGAUAUUGUCCGUCUUGCUCAUCCUCUUUAGGGUCUAUUCUUUUGUGGAUAAAUAUCAUAAAAAAGUUGGUCAACUUUCUCAUUAGCCAAUUUACUCAUGUUCUCGUACUUUUUAAGAUGGAUAAGUUACUUUAUCAUGGAUAGUAUUUAGCCAUGAAAUGAAAAAAAAUAUUAGCCAUCUAGGGGAUUGCUAAAUCAUUUUUUCAUAAACCAAAAAAAUAAUCUUUUUAAUUCAUUCCUAAUAUAUCCUUGACUUUAUAAUAAUAAUAUAAUAUAAUGAUAUAUUAUAAUAUAAUAUAUCAUUAUAUAAUAUAAUAUAAUAUAUUAUAUUAUUAUAUAAUAAUAUAUAUUAUAUUAUAUUAUUAUAUAAUAAUAUAUAUUAUAUUAUAUUAAUAUAAGAUCUUAACAUAAUAUAUUAUAAUAUACUAUAAUAUAUUAUAAUAAUAAUAUAUAAUAAUAUAAUAAUAUAUUAUAUUAUUAUAUAUAAUAAUAUCUAUAUAAUAAUAUAAUAAUAAGAUAAUAUUAUAAUAAUAUAUAUAAUAAUAUAAUAUAUUAUAUUAUUAUAUAUAAUAAUAUUGUAUAAAUAUAUAAUAAUAAAAUAAAAUAUUAAUAUAUUGUGAUAUAUUAUAAUAUAAUAAUAUGAAAAUAUAAUAUAUUAUAAUAUAUAAUAAUAAUAUUAUAAUAUGAUAUAUUAUAAUAUAAUAUAUCAUAUAUAUACUAUUAUAUAUAAUAAUAUUUAUAUAAUAAAGAGUAUUAUGAAAAAUAUAGAUAGAUCUUAACAACUUAUCCAGAAAAUUAGUAAUGUAAAAAAAUAUGAGUAAUAAAUUCUUAAGUCAUUUUUCAAUAUAUAAAAGAUUAUGGAUAAAUUAUUUUUCUGUCUAAAUAUUACUUAAAAAAUAUUUAUCUAGAAAAAUAUAGAUUUUUAGAUAAAUUUUUUAUCCUUAAAAGAACAAGCUCUUAUUUUUACCGUAGCCUCCUAGUUAAGGGGAGUCUAUGUGAUCCCAUAGUUGCAAAAGUGGUCUCUUUUCUAGUGCAUCACUGUUGUAGCGAAGUUAAGGAGGAGUCUGUGUGACCCCACUGUCGCAAAAGUAAUCUUUUUCCUGGUGCGUCAUUGUUGUAGCGAAGGAUUCAUGAUUCGGUAUGUGAGGUAUUGUCCGCUUUAAAUCAUGGACCUCAUCAUUUUUUUCUUCUAAAUUCUAAUCCAAAAAAUACUUCAUAUGGGGUGGAUAAUCCCUUUCUAUAUAAGUUAGAGUCUCCUCUGACUUACAAUCAUUAUAGAUUAAUGAUGUCUUCCCUCCUACGUCACAACACAUAUGUAUAUUUGUUUGUAGUUAAAAUAUAUAGAGAAAAAGUAGUUCAUAUCUACUUGAGGAAUUUAAAUAUUGGAUUUUAAAAUUAUAAAUUUAAGUCGUUGCAUUUGAUAAAAAAUAUUUAAAAUAUUAAUUCACAAAAAAAAUCAUAGAUUUUAUAUGCCCAAAAUCAAUAUACUAUAAAUGCUCCUAUAUAAUAAAAAUUAUAUAUACGUAUAUAAGAAUUUUUAAUUUAUCACCUAUCACCUUUUUGUUAUCUAUUCCUUGGAGAAGCAACCGAUCGUUCAACAUAUUUGAAACAAACAAGCCAAGAAAACCUUGUGCUUUACAAACCAAUCAAACCUUGUGUUUACCCUGCACAGCUACUAAAGCCAUUCACCGCAACAAAAAGAUAAUAUCAUGGGCUUGCGUGACGCCUCUUUAACAAUAACAGCCCUCACCAUUUCCAUAUUAACCAUUUCCUCCCUGCUUCCCCUCUUUCUUCUCGUGCUCUCCUCCACGCGGCAAUUCCGGCCAUUCCAGCCGUCCACGAGGCUCGGCUCUCUUCCCCUCUCCUCCCCUUCUCAUCUGCUUCCCUCACGAUUCUAAAACCCUAAUCCUUCUUGCCCCCUCCUCCUCCGUCUAUACCAAAAUCUAGGGUUUCUACCUCGAUUUUCCACUUUUCCCCAAAUCUAGGGGAUUCUGCCAUCGAUUCGGUGAUUUUCUUCGUUUUUCUCUUUUUUCUGAGCAUAUUUUGCUCUCUUUCUUUUGAAUCGGCUGCUUAAGUGACCUAAGGUUCCAAAUUUUUUGAUUUUGUUUCGAUUUAAUAGCAUGGCGGAGCGAGGGGAUUGAGGUUCGACGAAGGGUAGCGAGGACUGAAAGGGGGGGAAAAUAUGUACAGGGACCGAGGAGUGAGUGGGUCGAAGCUGGAGGUUGGGACCCUCGACCGGAAGCGGAUCAAUGAUGCCCUAGACAAGAACCUGGAGAAAUCGUCGCCGUCGACUUCCAGGGGUUUGAACGGGAGGGAGAAGGAGAGGCUUUCCGUGCCGUCCACCUCUGCGGGAAAGCAGCCGGACCACCACAGGAACCAGCGCUCUGCCCCUCUUUCCAAUGGUUGCCUUAUUUUCCCUCUAGUCUCCUGGAGAUCUUUUGAUUUUAAUCCAUAUUUAUGCAUGCGAGGCUUUCAGACAGAAAAAUUGGAACUUUAAAAGAAAAUAAUUUGUGUAUCAGCCAAAAGGGGCCUCUAGAUGAAGUUCUUCCCUAUUUACAGUUUGAUUGGAUGGUUUCUCCACACAAGUGAGAGUAACAUAUAUUCUCGUGCUAAUUUCUGAUUUAUUUGGCUGCCGUACAUUGUAUUGUAUAGUGCAAGGAAGAAGUCUAGGUCAUAAAUUUUUAAUGUAGUUCACAAACAAGAACUUCUUCAAGGUUAAUAUUCUUAUCCAUUAACGCAAACUUGAAUGCCUUCUGUUUUUUAAGAAUAUCUUUCAGGAUCUGGGCAUAAUUUAGGUUCAUCAAAGACGAGGAUCAGAACUUCACUUGUUGCAUAAAUUUAGAUUGCUUUUAGUGUAAUUUAUGAGAAAAAUGUAAAGAAGAAUAAAUAGAGAAAAAACACUUUUUUUGGUUUAUUUGUUAUAGAAGAUUUGUGCAGCAGAAUGAAUUUAUAAGUUUUGGAUGCCCAUGAUUUACCAAGACAUUUCUUUCUAUUGUCUGUGAUAAUUCAAGUGUGCUUAUUUUUCAGUUACAUGCAUAAUUUAUAACACAUAGAUAUUACUUUUGAAGCUGCCACAACAUUGUUCUGACCAAAGUUUUUAAUCCCAUGGGACAAAGGUGUCCCAGUUUCUCCAUGGAAUGGGUCGUCUCGCUGUCUUGUCCCGUCCCGACAACCAUCCUAGUCAUGCAUCCUAGUGGAUAUCCUCCAUCUUUCUCUCCUUUUUUUUUCUUUCUUUUUUUUUCCUUCUUUUCUUUUUUUUUCUCUUAUUCUUUUUUUUUGUCUCUUUUUUCUUUCUUUUUCUAUCUUUCUUNNNNNNNNNNNNNNNNNNNNUUUUUCUUUCUUUUUUUCCUUCUUUUCUUUUUUUUCUCUAUCUUUUUUUUUGUCUCUUUUUCUUUCUUUUUCAUCUUUCUUCCUUUUUUUUUCAUUUUUCUUCUUCUUUCCUUUCAUUUUUUUUCUUUUUCUUUAUCUUUCCUUCAUUUCCUUCUUUCCUCUUUUUUUCUUCUCUCCCUGCAUGAGUGGGUUUUAGAGUCCUGAGCUCUGUUUUCUCAUAGGAACGGGACGGAACACCCCCCAUCCCGCUGGGAUGUAAAACUUUGGUUUUGACCAUGUUACAAAUUGAUGUCUACUUUGAUGACCGGUGAGAGAUUUUGACAAUUCAAAAAUAAGAGUUCAGAAAAUCAAGUCACAUCUCAAUAAUGUGCAUGAUGUGUUCAAGCUUUGUGCCCUAAAAUGUGGCCAUGCUGUCAUUCAGAGCUUUCUUAUAAUCCAUUUAUUUAUUUAUUUAUUUUUUUCUGUUUCCUUUUCGUCAGAAGAAUCUGAAACAGAAAGUGAAGAGUCAGAUGUUAGUGGUUCUGAUGGCGAGGACACAUCUUGGAUAUCAUGGUUCUGUAACCUAAGAGGGAAUGAGUUCUUUUGUGAAGUUGAUGAUGAGUACAUACAAGAUGACUUCAAUCUUUGUGGGCUAAGCAGCCAGGUUCCUUACUAUGACUAUGCUCUCGAUCUGAUUUUGGAUGUGGAAUCCUCUCACGGUAUGCAUAAAUGUGUCCUUAGUCUUUACAUAGGAUUUUAAUUUAUGAAGGAUUCUAUCUGUAAUUUUAACAUAAUGGGACAUUAUAUCGCUCUUACAGCAUGAAACUCUUGAGUGCUUGCAGCUUCAUAGACUCUGGUUCCUUGAGAGCAUUUUUUAAAUUCUUUAAGCAUUUUGAUUUGCAUGUAUGUUGACUUUUAAUUGCUUGUUGUUAUCAUUUUCAUCAUCAUUGUUGUUUUAAUACAUAAACUGUUUCUUCGCUUGCAUUUCAUUAUCAGUAGAUCCCACCUACAAUUUCUAGACUGCAUUUCUUCAGGCGUUGACAUUAACUCGGGAUAUAUAGUUGUUGGUUUCCUAGCUUGCUCUGGGUUUCAUUUUUUAGAACCAUCAAAAAGUUAUCAGAAAGUAAAAGCAAUAUAGUUCAUUGAAUGAGAAUCCAUGCCUAAUUGAUAAACGGACAGACUGACUGGAUGGAUUAUUGUACAUCAAGACAGCCUACCACCAAAGGAAUCCUAAAAAGUAAAAGGGUAAAGUCUAAAACCUUGUUCAUAACAUUAUGCAUGUGCAUAUAUGCACAUAUAUCAAGGCAGCCCUCCACUAGAGGAAACCUUAAGAAAAUAAAAAGCAACUCUCAGACCUUGCCUAUAACUAUAUGAGUGGAAAAUUGAAUAAAUUAUAUGUUACAGCCUAUAAUGCCUUCUUUUCUCGUAGGUUGGAGACCAAUCGUGCACUUAUGGCUCAAGUACUUUGACACAAGGUUUGAAAACUUGGUUUUGCUUUUCCCUUUUGAAGUCUAAGUAACUGUUGGAUGGACACAAACAAGUGGAUUUGGACGUGUCCAAGACUCAACAAGAGGAAAUAAGGGAGAUACAGGAAUGUGUCGAAAAAAAUAAUUUUAACUAAUAUGUAUAAUGAAUAUUUUGUGAAAGAUGAUAUUUAAAGAUAUUACCUAUUAAGGUCUUCCAAUAUAUGUUUCUCAUCUGAGCUUCCACAUUAGCUUAAGGAUUUUAGAAAACUGAAAUUUUGAGAAGGUAUUCUAAUAACUAAUCUUCCAAUCUCUGAAAAGUACAAAACUCAUAUUUAACAUGAUCAUAGCCAAUUCAACUCAUGUUUUCAAGAUUCCACCUCUCUGCUUAUUUCUAAAGGCUGCGGCCAAAAAAAAAAUGAUAACCAUCCAACGGUCCAAUGCAUAUUCAAUUUGCACAACUGUCUGACAUGGAUUCUAGGAGCUGGAUGCAAAUUUCCAGGUAACAAAACUAUGUUUUGCUUUUGGAAGUUUACAUGGUUGUAGUGAUGCUGUAGUUUUGAUAUCUUCUAUGAGAUAUUAUAGGACUCCAAAAAGUGUCAAUGACAAUUAGCUAGAAGAACAUUUAAGAGAACUAAAAUUAUACAAAUAAAUUAGAUCAUUUUAAAGUAUUUUAAAAUGACAUUUUAGUUUUUUUGGCAAUUUUGGUUGAAACCAAGAUUUUCUAGUUUCAGAUUUGGAGUUCUGGCUGAAACUUCAAAAGAUGCCCAUGAACAAUGUCCACUAAUUUCUUGUUGGAUAAUAAGGCAGAUAUACACUUCAUAUAAACAUGUAAUUUGUUUUUGCUAUUAAUAGGCAAUUAAUGGCUUAGAUUUGGUCGCAUCUUCUAGAAUAAACGAUUCAAAUCUCUAAGCUCCCUACCAAAUCUUAUGGAUGAGAUUUGAAGUGUUGACCAAAACAAAUCCAUUUCCAUGUAAUGGAUCCCUGAAAAUCUGAAACUAUAUUUACAUUAGUUUGGCCGGUUCAUUGAAAUGAUUUUGGUGCAUUUUUGGUAGUUUUGGCCAAUUUGGCCUAUAACUAGUUGAAACUAAUUAUGAGUGUUAUUGUAUUUGCCUGGUUUAUUGAAUCAGCAAAUUGUUCAACCAAUCAAAAUCAUGAAUAGUUUGAUAAAUUUUUCAUUAAAACUAGUGCAUGACAAAUAGGGAAAAAACUUUAGAGAGUGGUUUGGUCAUCCUAGUGUAUUUGGUGACAAUAACUUCACUAAGCAGUGGCUCUUGCCAGUCUCGUGUGGUUGAAGAGUUUUCUGACAAUGCAGUUGGCUUAUUAAGUGUCAUUGAACUUCUGUUGAUGCAUGAUAUUACAUUUCUGUUACUGCAGAAUCUAGACUAAGUCAAUCUAUCCACAUGCCUUGAAAUAUAACUAUAAUUAAAUGUCUUAAAUGAAAUUGACUCCACUUCCUCAUCCAGGCUAAGAUGAACUGCAAAAGAAAGAGGGGCAUCUCUGUUUUGUUUUAGUGUUAUGCCUUAGAGACGAACAUAGUUCAUGACAGACAUUGUUCACCUUUCCUUCAGAUUCUUUCCAGGUCCAAGAGGUGCUCUACAGGGUUACCAUAUAGUUUCAUGAGCUUAUACUACAAGUCUAUUCCUAGGCUUCUUGGUUGCUUGGCGGGCUGCUCUCUUGCCUCAUGUUGCCUCAUUUAGUGACACAAUUUUAUUUUUUUAAACAUUUCUUUUAUACCUUAAACUCCUAUCAGAAUUUAUUUUCUUCUUGAUAGGAUUAUUUGGUUCCAUAAGUAGACUAGGAGCUUUCUAUAUUAAUGAUGAGCAGACUUAGGCACUUGGUAUUUAUUGGCAUAUUAUUUUCUUUUAUUUAUAAAAUCAAAUCAAGGAGCCACUAUGCAUGAAAUAUGUUACUAGGAUUGUGUUUUAGAUACACUAUUUAGAGCAAGUGUUAAUUUGAAGUAAGUGUUUCUGUCUUCUGGGCAGGGUUUUGGCAGCAAUGUUAUCCAAGAUACAAGCCUCUAAAGACUUUACUAUCAUGUCCCUACCUCAAUAUCUUUCUCCAACUAUAGGUAUUAUAUUCAUUAAAAAAAUGAAACUUAUUGAAAAGAGUAAAAAGUUUAGAAAACAUGAUGAUAGUCUGAAAGAACCAAUACAGUUUUAUGUCAAAGAGGUUAAUAAUGGAGGUUAUUUUCCUACAUAUCCAAUAGAUAUAAAAAUAUAAAAAAUUGAAAAAGGCCUAUAUAGGGUCUUUAUUAACUUUGAGAAAGGGUUUCAAGAAAGGUAAUUUAAUGGGUUUGAAGAAAUGUGCAUAAAUGGUGCAUUUAAAGUGUUGGUCCAUGUCAGUUAGCAAUUACCUUGUUGGAUCACUAUUGAAUCUUAUCAUAGUUUGGCAUGGAAUCUCCAAAUUAGUUUUACAAAAAAAAAAAAAAAAAAAGGGCAAGAAGUCCAUUUUUCAUUUUGGUGCAAUGUGACUUGUCUAUAGGCAUGGAAUUGCACAUGCUAUGCCAGACAAUGACAUUGAUGCUUACAUCCUUGGCAAAAAUAGAAUUGAAGAUGUGACCUAGUAGAAUGGAGAG
rnacentral:lncRNA from 1 species